rnacentral:snRNA from 1 species
AGAGAAUGGUAUAAACCCGGGAGGCAGAGGUUGCAGUGAGCCGAGAUUGUGCCACUGCACUCCAGCCUGGGUGACAGAG